UACAGAGGUGCCAAGCGUUGUUCGGAUUUAUUGGGCGUAAAGGGUGCGUAGGCGGUCAUGUAAGUUGGAUGUGAAAUACCGGAGCCUAACUCCGGAACGGCAUUCAAAACUGCAUGGCUAGAGAUCUGGAGAGGUGACUGGAAUUCUCGGUGUAGCAGUGAAAUGCGUAGAUAUCGAGAGGAACACCAGAGGCGAAGGCGAGUCACUAGACAGUAUCUGACGCUCAUGCACGAAAGCUAGGGGAGCAAACGGG
rnacentral:rRNA from 1 species